UGUUUGGGGUUGGCAGAUUCGUAUUAAGGAAUUGCUUCAAUUCAAGGUCAUUCCUUCUAUUCCUUCACUAUAUCUUGCAAUUUUCGUGCUUAAGUUUUGCUCUGCUUGACUACACCCUGGAGAAUAUCAUAACUAAAUCUCUAUGCUUAUAUCAUUUUUCUUUCUCACAUUUUGCCUUUUACUAUUUAAUCACUCUAAUUCGUUGAAUACGAUAGUCUCAAACAAUUAGUCUCACAUUUG
rnacentral:lncRNA from 1 species